rnacentral:rRNA from 1 species
GCCCUUAGAGUUUGAUCCUGGCUCAAGAUGAACGCUGGCGGCGUGCUUAACACAUGCAAGUCGAACGGGAAUUACUUUAUUGAAACUUCGGUCGAUUUAAUUUAAUUCUAGUGGCGGACGGGUGAGUAACGCGUGGGUAACCUGCCUUAUACAGGGGGAUAACAGUCAGAAAUGGCUGCUAAUACCGCAUAAGCGCACAGAGCUGCAUGGCUCAGUGUGAAAAACUCCGGUGGUAUAAGAUGGACCCGCGUUGGAUUAGCUUGUUGGUGGGGUAACGGCCUACCAAGGCGACGAUCCAUAGCCGGCCUGAGAGGGUGAACGGCCACAUUGGGACUGAGACACGGCCCACACUCCUACGGGAGGCAGCAGUGGGGAAUAUUGCACAAUGGGGGAAACCCUGAUGCACCGACGCCGCGAGAAAGAAAAAUUAUUUCGGUAUGUCAACUUCUAUCAGCAGGGAAGAUAGUGACGGUACCUGACUAAGAAGCCCCGGCUAACUACGUGCCAGCAGCCGCGGUAAUACGUAGGGGGCAAGCGUUUUCCUGAUUUACUGGGUGUAAAGGGAGCGUAGACGGUGUGGCAAGUCUGAUGUGAAAGGCAUGGGCUCCACCUGUGGNCUGCUUUGGAAACUGUCAUAACAUUGAAGUGCCGGAGGGGUNNGCGGNNUUCCUNGUGUNGCGGUGNNNUGCGUNGNUNUUNGGNGGNNCCCCUGUGGCGAAGGGGGGGUUUCUGGACGGUAACUGACGUUGNGGCUCGAAAAGCGUGGGGNGCUCCCAAGAUUCGCUNCCCUGGAGUUCCCCCCCGAAAACGACCAUAAAGGGUGUCGGGGAGCAUGGCUCUUCGGUGCCGUCGCAAACGCAGUAAGUAUUCCACCUGGGGAGUACGUUCGCAAGAAUGAAACUCAAAGGAAUUGACGGGGACCCGCACAAGCGGUGGAGCAUGUGGUUUAAUUUGAAGCAACGCGAAGAACCUUACCAAAUCUUGACAUCCCUCUGACCGGUCUUUAAUCGGACCUUCUCUUCGGAGCAGAGGUGACAGGUGGUGCAUGGUUGUCGUCAGCUCGUGUCGUGAGAUGUUGGGUUAAGUCCCGCAACGAGCGCAACCCCUAUCCUCAGUAGCCAGCAUUUAAGGUGGGCACUCUGGGGAGACUGCCAGGGAUAACCUGGAGGAAGGCGGGGAUGACGUCAAAUCAUCAUGCCCCUUAUGAUUUGGGCUACACACGUGCUACAAUGGCGUAAACAAAGGGAAGCGAGAUUGUGAGAUGGAGCAAAUCCCAAAAAUAACGUCCCAGUUCGGACUGUAGUCUGCAACCCGACUACACGAAGCUGGAAUCGCUAGUAAUCGCGGAUCAGAAUGCCGCGGUGAAUACGUUCCCGGGUCUUGCACA